GACAGAGGUGCCAAGCGUUAGGCGGAAUCACUGGGCUUAAAGCGUGUGUAGGCGGAAUUCUAAGUACCUUGUGAAAUCCCACAGCUCAACUGUGGAACUGCUCGGUAUACUGGUUUUCUUGAGCCACUUAGGGGCUGUCGGAACAAGCGGUGUAGCGGUGAAAUGCGCAGAUAUCAGGAGGAACACCGGUGGCGAAGGCGGGUCUCUGGGCCGUAACUGACGCUGAGGAGCGAAAGCAUGGGGAGCGAACAGG
rnacentral:rRNA from 1 species